GGGCGAAAAAAGGGGGCCGGGGGGUGCCUAAAAAAAAAUUGAAUUCCCCGGGUUAAACCGGGAACCCCAAUUUUUACCCCCCGGCCAAAAUAUGCCAAAAGGGGGUAAAAAUCCCCCCGUACCAAUGAAAUGCUAAAAAAUGGGGGGAAAAACCGGGGGGGAAGGCAGCCCCCGGGGCCAAAAAUUGACGCUAAUGACCGAAAGCUUGGGGAGCCAACAGGAUUAGAAACCCUGUUGUCCACCCCCCUAAACGAUGUCAACUAGUUGUCGGGUCUCAUUGACCUGGUAACGUACGUAACGCGUGAAGUGGACCGCCUGGGGAGUACCGGUCGCAAGAGUAAAACUCAAAGGAAUUGACCGGGGCCCCGCACAAGCGCUGGAUGAUCUGGAAUAAUUCGAUGCAACGCGAAAAACCUUACAUACCCNUGACAUGUAUGGAACCCUGCUGAGAGGUGGGGGUGCCCGAAAGGGAGCCAUAACACAGGUGCUGCAUGGCUGUCGUCAGCUCGUGUCGUGAGAUGUUGGGUUAAGUCCCGCCACGAGCGCAACCCUUGUCCCUAGAUGGUACGCAAGAGCACUCCAGGGAGACUGCCGGUGACAAACCGGAGGAAGGUGGGGACGACGUCAAGUCCUCAUGGCCCUUAUGGGUAGGGCUUCACACGUCAUACAAUGGUCGGAACAGAGGGUCGCCAACCCGCGAGGGGGAGCCAAUCCCAGAAAACCGAUCGUAGUCCGGAUCGCACUGUGCAACUCGAGUGCGUGAAGCUGGAAUCGCUAGUAAUAGCGGAUUAGCAUGCCGCCGCGAUCCGUACACGGGUCGUUGACAACAAGACUGUCACACGAUGGGAGUGGGUUCACCAGAAUUAGGUAGCCAUACCACAAGUUAGGGUGAUUCCUACCCUAAUUCGUUGUAAAUCUGGNCC
rnacentral:rRNA from 1 species